rnacentral:rRNA from 1 species
GACGAACGCGGGCGGCGUGCUUAACACAUGCAAGUCGAACGAUGAAGCCUAGCUUGCUAGGUGGAUUAGUGGCGAACGGGUGAGUAAUACGUGAGUGACCUACCUUUGACUCUGGGAUAAGCCUGGGAAACUGGGUCUAAUACCGGAUACGACCAAUCUCCGCAUGGGGUGUUGGUGGAAAGCGUUAUGGAGUGGCUUUAGAUGGGCUCACGGCCUAUCAGCUUGUUGGUGAGGUAAUGGCUUACCAAGGCGACGACGGGUAGCCGGCCUGAGAGGGUGACCGGCCACACUGGGACUGAGACACGGCCCAGACUCCUACGGGAGGCAGCAGUGGGGAAUAUUGCACAAUGGGCGCAAGCCUGAUGCAGCGACGCCGCGUGAGGGAUGACGGCCUUCGGGUUGUAAACCUCUGUUAGCAUCGAAGAAGCGAAAGUGACG